rnacentral:misc_RNA from 1 species
GAACACAUCUGAGGAUUUUUACAUGACUGCACAAGUAGGUAAAAAUGAUUGACCAAAUCUUCACACACUAAAGAAGUGGAAUCACAGUUUCCAUAUCACUAGUCUCCAAGAUAGAGGGAUCACAGCAGUAAACAUGAUAUCAAACCUUGCCAAACUAAACAAUGUUUCAACAAGAGGAUAUAAUGACAGGACGAAGAUAUGUUGCUGGUGGAAAGGUGGCAAAAUCAACUCCUAUCAGGAUUAGAGGACUUGCUGUAAAUUGUAUUAAACAACAGCUCUGUGCAGUUCCUCUUUCUACCAUGAAGGUUUAU